rnacentral:rRNA from 1 species
AACGAACGCUGGCGGCAGGCUUAACACAUGCAAGUCGAACGGUUGUAGCAAUACAGCAGUGGCGCACGGGUGAGUAAUACGUGGGAACGUACCUUUCAGUCGGGAAUAACAGCGGGAAACUGCUGCUAAUACUCGAUAUUCUCUAUGGAGGAAAGGUUUAUCGCUGAGAAAUCGGCCCACGUCAGAUUAGCUAGUUGGUGAGGUAAUGGCUCACCAAGGCUACGAUCUGUAGCUGGUCUGAGAGGAUGACCAGCCACACUGGAACUGAGACACGGUCCAGACUCCUACGGGAGGCAGCAGUGGGGAAUAUUGGACAAUGGGCGAAAGCCUGAUCCAGCCAUGCCUGCGUGAGUGAUGAAGGCCUUAGGGUUGUAAAGCUCUUUUAUCAGGGAA